rnacentral:rRNA from 1 species
UACGAAGGGGGCUAGCGUUGUUCGGAAUUACUGGGCGUAAAGCGCGUGUAGGCGGGCCGUUAAGUCGGGGGUGAAAGCCCAGAGCUCAACUCUGGAAUUGCCUUCGAUACUGGCGGCCUGGAGCAUGAUAGAGGCGAGUGGAAUUGCGAGUGUAGAGGUGAAAUUCGUAGAUAUUCGCCGGAACACCAGUGGCGAAGGCGACUCGCUGGAUCAUUUCUGACGAUGAGACGCGAAAGAGUGGGGAGCAAACAGG